rnacentral:rRNA from 1 species
AGACGUAGGGGGCGAGCGUUGUCCGGAAUUACUGGGCGUAAAGGGCGUGUAGGCGGCCUUUCAAGUCGGCUGUGAAAUACCCCGGCUCAACCGGGGGGGUGCAGUCGAAACUGGGGGGCUUGAGUGCAGGAGAGGGGGGUAGAAUUCCCGGUGGAGCGGUGAAAUGCGUAGAUAUCGGGAGGAACACCAGUGGCGAAGGCGGCUUCCUGGACUGUACCUGUCGCUGAGGCGCGAAAGCUGGGGGAGCAAACAGGAUUAGAUACCCUGGUAGUCCCAGCCGUAAACGAUGGGUACUAGGUGUGGGUGGUUUCGAUACCAUCCGUGCCGUAGUUAACGCAUUAAGUACCCCGCCUGGGGAGUACGUGCGCAAGCAUGAA